rnacentral:rRNA from 1 species
AGGACGAACGCUGGCGGCGUGCUUAACACAUGCAAGUCGAGCGGAAAGGCCCUUCGGGGUACUCGAGCGGCGAACGGGUGAGUAACACGUGAGUAAUCUGCCCCUAGCUCUGGGAUAGCUCCGGGAAACCGGGAUUAAUACCAGAUACGACCACUUUAGACAUCUUCUGUGGUGGAAAGAACUUCGGCUAGGGAUGAACUCGCGGCCUAUCAGCUUGUUGGUGAGGUAACGGCUCACCAAGGCGACGACGGGUAGCCGGCCUGAGAGGGCGACCGGCCACACUGGGACUGAGACACGGCCCAGACUCCUACGGGAGGCAGCAGUGGGGAAUAUUGCGCAAUGGGCGAAAGCCUGACGCAGCGACGCCGCGUGGGGGAUGAAGGCCUUCGGGUUGUAACCCCUUUCAGCAGGGACGAAGCGAAAGUGACGGUACCUGCAGAAGAAGCGCGGCUAACUACGCGCCAGCAGCCGC